CGGCAGGCUUACACAUGCAAGUCGAGGGGUAACAGGGAUUGCUUGCAAUCCGCUGACGACCGGCGCACGGGUGCGUAACGCGUAUGCAACCUACCUUCUACAGGGGAAUAGUCAAUAGAAAUGUUGAAUAAUACCCCAUACGAUCUUUGAAUAGCAUUAUUUAGAGAAGAAAGUUCCGGCGGUAGAAGAUGGGCAUGCGUCCUAUUAGUUAGUUGGAGAGGUAACGGCUCCCCAAGACAUCGAUAGGUAGGGGUCCUGAGAGGGAGACCCCCCACACUGGUACUGAGACACGGACCAGACUCCUACGGGAGGCAGCAGUGAGGAAUAUUGGACAAUGGAGGCAACUCUGAUCCAGCCAUGCCGCGUGCAGGAAGACUGCCCUAUGGGUUGUAAACUGCUUUUAUACAGGAAGAAACCUACUUACGUGUAAGUAGCUGACGGUACUGUAAGAAUAAGGAUCG
rnacentral:rRNA from 1 species